GCCCUGGCUGGGAAUCUAACUGGGACCUCCUGGAAAACUCCAGGACUAAAAAUUCCCGAAUAGAUGAGAACAGCAAGAUAUUUAAACAGCUAGAGAAAGACAACAAACAACAAACAUUACUAACUAUUAAGCAGAAUUUGCAAAUUGCAACAACACUAAGGUUAGAGGAAGAAAUUCGGCAACUUCAGAAACAGCUCAGUGAUUUGAAAUUGUCAAAUAAAAAUAUGAAAACCCAACUGACAAGAGUAAAUGUCCUUAAAGACAAAACAAUUCAGAAGCUCAGGCAAUCUUUAAUAAAAGUUGAAGCAAUGAAAGGGAAGGCAGCUAUGAAAACAGAUAACUUGAAAACUGCAUUAGACCCAACCAAGCAAGAGGCAAGAUGGAACAAAGACGGGACCCAUCAGAUCUUAGAUGCUAUCACUCCUGAGCUCUGCACAGCAAAGAACACACUUGAAGAAGUGUCAGGACGACCACAAGAGGAAGUCGACUUUCGAGAAACUAUCAUGAAGAUGUUGGGAUUUAACAUGAAAACAGCAGACAAGGAAAUUAUCACUCACCUAAGACUUGUUAUCCGAGCUUAUGAAGCAUCUAACAAAUCAAAGAUUGCUUCUGAUUGUGAGACUGGACAGAAUAACGCAUAAGAAAGUUCUGCCUUCUCAUUGCUGCCAACAAGAACUCAGCAGAUACAGACAUUUCCUUCAGCAUCUUGAGUGUG